UCGUUUCUCCUUACUGUUUUUCCCUACCUCUUUUGUUUUCCUUUUCUUUUUUCCUUUACUGUUUUUCCCUAACCCUCAUCUUCCCCUUUUCAUCUCCCAAGCCAGCCUUGUUCUUUGUGCACCAUGGCCAAGCCUCUCUUUCUUCCAGUCACGCCCAUUCUUAUCCCUGCUUGUCUCUGUCGAUCUCAUGGACUUAGAUUUGUGUAUAUGUACCAGCAAUACAUGAGAAGAAGACAUAGAAAACGGCACCAUUAUGGCUUUGCUGGCGGCAUUCAAGCACUUCGAGCACAUGUUGCUGAACCGCUUAUAUUGCCAAAGAAUUUGAAACAGAAGGAUUUCGAAAGAUUUAACCAAAUUUGCUACCAGAUCGUACCGUUAUUGGCUUUAUUAGACAACAUACAGAUAGUGGUCGAUGCACCCCUGGUAGGGGUACUAUAACUGAACGGUGCACAAUAAGUAGCCGGCGCACUUAAAGUCGCAUAACAUUCAUUCUGCUAUCUUUGUUGAGCAGAUCUUCAUCGUAGCUUGAUGAAAUAUUUUUUCCAGGAAAUGAGCUUGUACACGCAGCAUAUAUAUUUAGCUGGGUAUGCAAGUGUCAUAGCUUACAUGGAGACAUCUAUGAACAAAGUACCAAUACAUACAAAUGCAUAAAUAGGGUAUGAAUGGGUACAGUAUAUUUUUCAUGGAAAUGAGCAUUAAUGUCACAAUGUAUUUAGAGUAUCACGCCGUGUUUUUGAAGAAUUGUGUAAUACAUUGAGCACUCAAUAUGGAUAUGAGGGUAGCAAAUGAGUUCGCUUGGAAGAGUAUGUGACAAUUAUAUUAGUGGUACUUGGUCAUGGCAUAUGUAAUAGAAUGCUUUAGAAUAGAUUUCAGCAUUCGGGUAAGAAAUAAGUCGACACAUGAAAAUGGUAGUUACGUUGUUAGGCAAUGUUAUGUUACAAGAUAUUUCCUAAUGUGCCACAACAUAUUCUCAAUUCCAAUAGAUAUUGGCCACAUUUCAAGGUACUUUGUUAUUUUGGUAUCUUGAUUUAAUUUUAUUCAAUUUAUCUUUAUGAUGAAAACACGUUGUAAAUUUCACAUGGUAUUUUUAUGGCAAUGAUUACAAUUGCAUUGGUAUGAUUGCUAGGGUUUAUGUUCUCGUGGUCUUAUCAAUUCAUAAGCAACAUACAUACAAAGGAAGGAAAGGGAAGUCAAUAAUCAAUUGAAUGUAUGCUUGUGAUUUUGACAUGAAAUUCACAUUUGCAUGUAUUAGAUGGAAAGGGUUAGCAUAUGACAUAAGAAUACUUUUAAAUUGUCUCAAUAAUAAGAGUGACAACUUUCCAAAACUUUCACUUGGUUUGUAUUGCUGAAUUUUAAUUAAUGUAUUAAAACAUGUGUUAUGUAAUGAAAAUGCUAAUGUAAUAAACAUUCUCAUUUGCAGGAAAAUAUUAUCUUGUUGAUUCAAGGUACCCUAUGAAGAAAGGAUUCAUUGCACCAUUUAAGGGGGAGAGGUACCACCUCCCCAAUUUUCAAUAAGGUUGAACACCACAAAAUUCAGAGAAGAAAUUUAAUUAUCUCCACUCAUCACUUUGUUUUGUCAUAGAGCAAACUUUUGGUGUUUGGAAGAAUAAAUGGAGAAUUUUGAGAGAUGCGCAACUAUGAUAUAUGCAUUCAUGAACGCAUUAUUAUUACUACAAUGGUCCUUCAUAAUUUUAUUAAAGCACAUGAAGACAAUGUAUUUGGACAAGGGCUUUCUAGACGAGACACAUGUGAAAGUAGCGAGGGAGGUUAUUACGAUGAAAUAACAUGUGAUAUUUUCUUUAGAUGAACCUAAGAUGAAAGUGGUUCAAAAUAAUAUCACAGCAUUGAUACA